ACGCGCGGAACCUUACCAGGUCUUGACAUCCCGCUGACCGGUCUGGAGACAGAUCUUCCCCUUCGGGGGCAGCGGUGACAGGUGGUGCAUGGUUGUCGUCAGCUCGUGUCGUGAGAUGUUGGGUUAAGUCCCGCAACGAGCGCAACCCUUGAUCUUAGUUGCCAGCAUUAAGUUGGGCACUCUAAGGUGACUGCCGGUGACAAACCGGAGGAAGGUGGGGAUGACGUCAAAUCAUCAUGCCCCUUAUGACCUGGGCUACACACGUGCUACAAUGGGUGGUACAAAGGGCAGCAAAGCGGUGACGCCUAGCAAAUCCCAUAAAACCAUUCUCAGUUCGGAUUGUAGGCUGCAACUCGCCUACAUGAAGCUGGAAUCGCUAGUAAUCGCGGAUCAGCAUGCCGCGGUGAAUACGUUCCCGGGCCUUGCACACACCGCCCGU
rnacentral:rRNA from 1 species